rnacentral:rRNA from 1 species
AACGCGAAGAACCUUACCAGGAUUUGACAUCCAACUAACGAAGUAGAGAUACAUUAGGUACCCUUCGGGGGAAGUUGAGACAGGUGGUGCAUGGUUGUCGUCAGCUCGUGUCGUGAGAUGUUGGGUUAAGUCCCGCAACGAGCGCAACCCCUAUUUCUAGUUGCCAGCAUGUAAAGAUGGGAACUCUAGAGAGACUGCCGGUGAUAAAUCGGAGGAAGGUGGGGACGAUGUCAAAUCAUCAUGCCCUUUAUGUCCUGGGCUACACACGUACUACAAUGGCUAUAACAAAGAGAAGCGAAAUAGUGAUAUGGAGCGAAACCCAAAAAAAUAGUCUCAGUCCGGAUUGAAGGCUGAAAUUCGCCUUUAUGAAGCUGGAAUUGCUAGUAAUGGCAGGUCAGCAUACUGCCGUGAAUACGUUCCCGGGUCUUGUACACACCG